rnacentral:rRNA from 1 species
UACGAAGGGUGCAAGCGUUGUUCGGAAUUAUUGGGCGUAAAGGGUUCGUAGGUGGGAAGGUAAGUCGAGUGUGAAAUCCCUGAGCUCAACUCAGGACGUGCACCCGAAACUGCUUUUCUUGAGUGUUGGAGAGGGUGAUAGAAUUGCUGGUGUAGGAGUGAAAUCCGUAGAUAUCAGCAGGAAUACCAGAGGCGAAGGCGGUCACCUGGCCAAACACUGACGCUGAGGCACGAAAGCGUGGGGAGCAAACAGG